UACAGAGGUCUCGAGCGUUGUUCGGAUUCAUUGGGCGUAAAGGGUGCGUAGGCGGCGCGGAAAGUUGGGUGUGAAAUCCCUCGGCUCAACCGAGGAACUGCGCCCAAAAACUACCGUGCUCGAGGAAGAUAGAGGUGAGCGGAACUUACGGUGGAGCGGUGAAAUGCGUUGAUAUCGUAAGGAACACCCGUGGCGAAAGCGGUUCACUGGGUCUUCUCUGACGCUGAUGCACGAAAGCUAGGGGAGCAAACAGG
rnacentral:rRNA from 1 species